AAUUUUGCGGCCGUCUUUAUUAG
rnacentral:snRNA from 1 species